rnacentral:lncRNA from 1 species
UCCUCUAAAAAUCAGAAGACUCACAGAGAGAAUCUCCGAGAUGCUCUGGAAGAACAAUGGCCAAGCAAAAUUCUCCCGGAGGACAGAGUCUGUGGCAGUCUUUCUGGGUGACCAGCCUUCAGUGGUCCAAGAACCUGCUGCUCCCGGGUCCUCUCAUUUGAAGACACCCACCGCCUAAGGAUGAAGAGAAGCUCCUUCUUGCAGAUCUGAGGCUGAUUUCCCAACUCCCAGGAACACCCUACCCACAGCCUGUUCCCCAGACCCAGGAACUUUUCAAAUGUAGAGGAGCCUUUAGAAGGAAGCCUUGAGCAUGAGGACAGACCCCCCUCAUCCAACCACCACCUGACUCUGUGUGAACCUGGAACUGUUAGAAUGUCUGUGCUGUGAUAAAAGGUCAUCUCCCUACAAUGUUAUGAUACAGACCUCAAACCUACAAACAUGAGGAACUUCUGCCUCCAGGUUAACUGCUUACCCACUGUACAAGACACGUUACACACAGUCCAGGAGGCGGAGCUUCUGAGAUAUCUAGAAACAGCUUAGAGGCAAAAUGACAAAAUAAAGCAGCAACAACAAAUAAAACCAAUCUUCUCG